rnacentral:misc_RNA from 1 species
GAUGAAGAACGCAACGAAAUGCGAUAAGUAAUGUGAAUUGCAGAAUUCAGUGAAUCAUCGAAUCUUUGAACGCACAUUGCGCCCGCCAGUAUUCUGGCGGGCAUGCCUGUUCGAGCGUCAUUACAACCCUCAGGCCCCCGGGCCUGGCGUUGGGGAUCGGCGGAAGCCCCCUGCGGGCACAACGCCGUCCCCCAAAUACAGUGGCGGUCCCGCCGCAGCUUCCAUUGCGUAGUAGCUAACACCUCGCAACUGGAGAGCGGCGCGGCCACGCCGUAAAACACCCAACUUCUGAAUGUUGACCUCGAAUCAGGUAGGAAUACCCGCUGAACUUAAGCAUAUCAAUAAGCGGAGGA